GCAACUGACUGCUUUGAAGGCUGGAGAGCAGCGGAGGGAUCACGACAAACAGGGAAAACUGGCUCUCGGAGAGAAACCGGCAUCAGACACAGGCGCUGAUUAAAUAAAAU